rnacentral:pre_miRNA from 14 species
UUUCAUAUGUUGUAAUUGAAAGACCCCCGGAGUGGGGAUACCCUCACUCAAGUUUCGGGAAGACGCAACCACCCAAGAACUCACACAAGACC